rnacentral:tRNA from 1 species
GCCUGGAUGGCUCAGUUGGUUGAGCGACUGACUUCAGCUCAGGUCAUUAUCUUGCAGUUUGUGGGUUCGAGCCCUGUGUCAGGCU